rnacentral:misc_RNA from 1 species
GAAUCGCUAGUAAUCGCGGAUCAGCACGCCGCGGUGAAUACGUUCCCGGGCCUUGUACACACCGCCCGUCACACCAUGAGAGUUUGUAACACCCGAAGCCGGUGGCGUAACCCUUUUAGGGAGCGAGCCGUCUAAGGUGGGACAAAUGAUUAGGGUGAAGUCGUAACAAGGUAGCCGUAGGAGAACCUGCGGCUGGAUCACCUCCUUUCUAAGGAAACAGACUGAAAGUCUGACGGAAACCUGCACACACGAAACUUUGUUUAGUUUUGAGGGGAUCACCCUCAAGCACCCUAGCGGGUGCGACUUUGUUCUUUGAAAACUGGAUAUCAUUGUAUUAAUUGUUUUAAAUUGCCGAGAACACAGCGUAUUUGUAUGAGUUUCUGAAAAAGAAAUUCGCAUCGCAUAACCGCUGACGCAAGUCAGUACAGGUUAAGUUACAAAGGGCGCACGGUGGAUGCCUUGGCACUAGGAGCCGAUGAAGGACGGAACUAAUACCGAUAUGCUUCGGG